rnacentral:lncRNA from 1 species
AUGCCAAGCACAAAACGGUUUCAACAUGUGAUUGAGACCCCCGAGCCUGGCGAGUGGGAGCUGUCUGGGUAUGAGGCAGCUAUGCCGAUCACAGAGAAGUCAAAUCCACUGACCUGGGACUUGGACAAAGCAGAUGCUGGGAAAAUCGUUCAGUUGCUGGGGCAGUGUGAUGCUGAGAUCUUCCAGGAGAAGGGGCAAGGCAUGCCUGCCUACCAGCGACUGUACAGCGAAUCAGUUCUGACCACCAUGCUGCAAGUGGCCGGGAAAGUGCAGGAAGUGCUGAAGGAGCCAGAUGGGGGGCUGGUGGUGCUGAGUGGAGGGGGCACCUCUGGAUGGAUGACAUUCCUCAUGUCGGUGUGGCUCCAGCCAUAGCUUUGAUGUGUUUUCAUUCUCUGCAUUGACUUCAAGAGCCCAGCCCUGUUGACUUCCUGCAGUAUUUCUACCUUAGCUGUCUAUGUCAACUUGAUGCGCUUCCUAGGGAGGAAAUGUAAUAAAAUCACGUUUCUUUUUACUUUUUGAGACAGGAUCUCACUGUAUUGCCUGUUCUGUGAACUUGGGAUCCUCCUGCCUCAGCCCUGCAUCCUACCCCCAGUAGCUGGAACUUCAGGUGCCCCCUGCAGGUGUGCCCUUGCACUCACACAGGCCAUGAUUUUUUUUUUUCUGUUGAAGUUAUUUUAUUUUAUUUUUUUAUUUUUUGGUAUAUCCUUUUAUCAGUACAUUUUAGGUGUACAAUAUAAUGACAUUCAUCAUUGGAAAUUUGCACCUUUACAUACUCUCUUGGUUCUUAUUUAUUCCCCAUUCCCCUACCCUCCCUUCAACCCCUCCAUCCCUCCCUAUUUACAAAGACUUUGUUUCCUUUUUUUCAUUUUCUCAUUAAUUCCAUUCCCUUCUUUCCUUUCCCCUACCCCUCCCACUUCCCCCGCCCCUUUGCCCCU